AGCGAACGCUGGCGGCAGGCCUAACACAUGCAAGUCGAACGAACCUUUCGGGGUUAGUGGCGGACGGGUGAGUAACACGUGGGAACGUGCCUUUAGGUUCGGAAUAACUCAGGGAAACUUGUGCUAAUACCGAAUGUGCCCUUCGGGGGAAAGAUUAAUCGCCUUUAGAGCGGCCCGCGUCUGAUUAGCUAGUUGGUUGAGGUAAUGGCUCACCACGGCGACGCUCAGUAGCUGGUCUGAGAGGAUGAUCAGCCACAUUGGGACUGAGACACGGCCCAAACUCCUACGGGAGGCAGCAGUGGGGAAUCUUGCGCAAUGGGCGAAAGCCUGACGCAGCCAUGCCGCGUGAAUGAUGAAGGUCUUAGGAUUGUAAAAUUCUUUCACCGGGGACGAUAAUGACGGUACCCGGAGAAGAAGCCCCGGCUAACUUCGUG
rnacentral:rRNA from 1 species